GCUUAACAAUAAGCCCUACAAAAUGAUCCUAUUAAAUAAUCUUAAAAAACAAAACAUUUGACACAGGAAGUAUCUGAGAGAGAACCCUAUUUAUGGCGCAAAAAGUACCGCAAGGGGAAAAUGAAAGACCAAUGAAAACGUAUAAAGCAAAAAAAGCAAAGACCAACCCUUGUACCUCUUGCAUUAUGGUUUAACAAGAACUAAACAAGCAAAAAGAACUUGAGCUUGUCAUCCCGAACCUGUGUGAGCUACUCCAAGACAGCUGCUAGAUC
rnacentral:rRNA from 1 species